rnacentral:rRNA from 1 species
GACGUGUCCCCGGGCGUCCGCCRGAGGCAGAGCCGUACUCCUCGCGAGCACGGACCAGCAGCGGUUGGAGUGGAGCCACAAGGCUGACAGAAAGGUAGGUCGGGUCGGGUUCGCUCGCUCGACAACUUACAGACUGGCUGUCCGGCACUCCACUCGGACCGAGGAAAGGGGGCAGCUCUUGCCCGGUAUGGUGCACGCCGUAUGGCGGGGCCUCCCGUCGAGGGCGAGCCGUGCGGGGUUGACUGCAUGCAGUGCUCACYGUCACGGCGGACCCACGGUCGGAGAGUGUCACYUGUGCACCAGUGCUGCUGGUAUUCGGACGGCCUCGUCCGA